rnacentral:rRNA from 1 species
GUGGGGAAUCUUCCGCAAUGGACGAAAGUCUGACGGAGCGACGCCGCGUGAGUGAAGAAGGCCUUCGGGUCGUAAAGCUCUGUCAUCAGGGACGAAUGGCCGGUGGAGUGGAAAGCCACCGGAUUGACGGUACCUGAGAAGGAAGCCACGGCUAACUACGUGCCAGCAGCCGCGGUAAUACGUAGGUGGCAAGCGUUGUCCGGAAUUAUUGGGCGUAAAGCGCGCGCAGGUGGGAUCUUAAGUCCAUUUUGAAAGUUCGGAGCUCAACUCCGUGAUGGGAUGGAAACUGGGAUUCUUGAGUACCGGAGAGGAAAGCGGAAUUCCCCGUGUAGCGGUGAAAUGCGUAGAUAUGGGGAGGAACACCAGUGGCGAAGGCGGCUUGCUGGACAGAUACUGACGCUGAGGUGCGAAAGCGUGGGGAGCGAACAGGAUUAGAUACCCGUGUAGUCC